CGAGAGCAGAGAAGGAUGGUGUCCAAAAAAUAGGUAGGAUCUAGUGUGCAUGCCAAUUGUUCGUAUUGCCAGAAAGCCAAGCCAUCUGGAUGUCCUCCUAAUACACUCUCUCCUUCACCCAGAGUAAAUCUCUGUCAUCAUGCGUAAGCGUUAGAACAUAAUCUCCGUGUUCCAGUCUUGGCUGGUCACUGACUGUCUUGGGAAGGUUACCAUAAAUCUCCUGAGUCUCAGUUUCCCCUCCUGGAAGGAGAGAAUAAUUAUUAAAAUGAGGUUAAGUAUGGUUGGACUCGGGAUCAAAGAGGGGAACGCUUAGAAAAUCUGGCCAAUGGCAAACUUUUUUUUUUUUUUUUUUUUAGAUUUUAUGUAUUUAUUCAUGAGAGACACACAGAGAGAGGCAGAGACACAGGCAGAGGGAGAAACAGGCUCCCUGUAGGGAGCCUGAUGCGGGACUGGAUCCUCGGUCUCCAGGAUCAGGCUCUGGGCCAAAGACAGAAAAUCUCAACCACCGAGCCACCCAGUUGCCCCCAACAGCAAACUCUUAAUAAAGAGAAAAAUGACAGGGACUCACUUUCCAAGAAAUUACACUAUGUUCAAUGACUUCCCAUCAAGAGUAAGCAAUGUUCCGUAUCCUGCCAUUGGUUCACUCUUCUAUGCCUUCCAGAUCUCAGCUCCGAGCCAUAUAACAGGUGUCAGGGCAACUGAGGAGCCAUUUAGAGAACCAACAGAAGUUAGAUUCCUACCUAUCAGAUUCCAGAAUAAAAGCCCAAGUGAGUGAUACA
rnacentral:lncRNA from 12 species